AACGCUAGCUACAGGCUUAACACAUGCAAGUCGCGGGGUAACGACGGAGAAAGCUUGCUUUUUCCGGGCGACGACCGGCGCACGGGUGAGUAACGCGUAUCCAACCUGCCCUAUACAAAGGCACAGCCCGGCGAAAGUCGGAUUAAUGCCUUAUGAAGUGAGAAGAAGACAUCUGAUUUUCACUAAAGCUUCGGCGGUAUAGGAUGGGGAUGCGUCCGAUUAGGUAGACGGCGGGGUAACGGCCCACCGUGCCGACGAUCGGUAGGGGUUCUGAGAGGAAGGUCCCCCACACUGGAACUGAGACACGGUCCAGACUCCUACGGGAGGCAGCAGUGAGGAAUAUUGGUCAAUGGGCGAUAGCCUGAACCAGCCAAGUAGCGUGAGGGAAGACGGCCCUAUGGGUUGUAAACCUCUUUAGUCCGGGAAUAAAGUGGGCGACGUGUCGCCUAUUGCAUGUACCGGAAGAAUAAGGACCGGCUAAUUCCGUGCCAGCAGCCGCGGUAAUACGGAAGGUCCGGGCGUUAUCCGGAUUUAUUGGGUUUAAAGGGAGCGCAGGCGGUCUGAUAAGCGGGCAGUGAAAGACGGUGGCUCAACCAUCGAGGUGCUGUCCGAACUGUCGGACUUGAGUACGUGCGAGGCAGGCGGAAUUCGUGGUGUAGCGGUGAAAUGCUUAGAUGUCACGAAGAACCCCGAUUGCGAAGGCAGCUUGCCAGUGCGCCACUGACGCUAAAGCUCGAAAGUGCGGGUAUCGAACAGGAUUAGAUACCCUGGUAGUCCGCACGGUAAACGAUGGAUGCUCGCUGUUCGU
rnacentral:rRNA from 1 species